rnacentral:rRNA from 1 species
GAUGAACGCUGGCGGCGUGCUUAACACAUGCAAGUCGAACGAUGAAGCCCAGCUUGCUGGGUGGAUUAGUGGCGAACGGGUGAGUAACACGUGAGUAACCUGCCCUUGACUCUGGGAUAAGCCUGGGAAACUGGGUCUAAUACUGGAUAUGACUUCUCAUCGCAUGGUGGGGGGUGGAAAGAUUUAUUGGUCUUGGAUGGACUCGCGGCCUAUCAGCUUGUUGGUGAGGUAAUGGCUCACCAAGGCGACGACGGGUAGCCGGCCUGAGAGGGUGACCGGCCACACUGGGACUGAGACACGGCCCAGACUCCUACGGGAGGCAGCAGUGGGGAAUAUUGCACAAUGGGCGCGAGCCUGAUGCAGCGACGCCGCGUGAGGGAUGACGGCCUUCGGGUUGUAAACCUCUUUCAGUAGGGAAGAAGCGAGAGUGACGGUACCUGCAGAAGAAGCGCCGGCUAACUACGUG